AGUAACAUGGGAUAUCCUAAGUUAAACAAGUCCCCCCCAACUUUGCCACCUGAUAUGCUUUUCUUACAGCCUGAAUUGUUUCCUAAUAAUACCUUUAUCUGCUAAAUAAUUUAAACUGCCUAAAAAUUCUACCUAUCUUCCUCGUUCAAUUCUAUAUUUCAGGCCUUGCCUAUCUAAGGCUUCCUACAUUAUAUGAUUACAGAAAAAUUGCCAUAAGAGAAGAGAGGGGAGGGAUUAAAAUGAGGAAGAAAUGCUCCCCUAAUUUGGGUAUUAAUGCCAUGUGUAAAUUGGCCUUGAUGCUUAGCUAUGUGUAUAACCUGCCAGUUAUGACAGAGAAGUCUCUUGCUGAAGAAAUCCAGUGGAGUAACCUUAGUCUUUCUUCAGUCCAGAAAUGUAGUCCAGGCAUUGCCGUAGAGGCAGAACCGUAAGGGUUAAGCCUCCUCUUCUCUCUGUUUGGGCUGCAUAGUCAGGUUCGUGGGUUGAACUGUGUAUGACCUGCCCAGCUGUGUGCUCAAAGUUGGAGUAGCAUCAGAGGGAGGACUGAUAAGGUUUGUGAGAAAGAAACUGUAAGGUUGGAGUAGCCAGCAGAGGACUGAUAAGAGUUGUGAGAAAUUGUGAGAGUCUGUGGGAAAGUUGCUUCUCUGUCUUUGUUUGGAAUCCUCUCGGUUCUUCCCUGUGCCUGGUAGGUAACGUCAUGAAUUCCUAUGAAUCUGCCCAAUUAUUGGUUCCUGCUGUUGCUGAGUGGCAACAUUAUAUCUUCCUGUGUGUCUUAACCUAUAUAUUGCUUUGUUUGAACUCAAUAAAGGGUCGUUAUGCUUUUUCAUAUAGCGUCCAUUCAUCACUCUGUAUGUUCGUUACCCCAGGCAAGGUCACAGAAAGGUUGGCCACCUUUUUGAUGAGCCUUGCAGUUUGGCGCCCGAACAGGGACAUAAAUGCCGUUCGUAACCCCGAUUCUUUUCUGGUCAAAGGAUGAUUCAGAGUGAUGGGCUUUGUGGCAAUAUCUUGGAUUGGGUCAAGGACAACAAUGGAUACCCCAUAGAUGGACCAGACCUAUCCUGCAGUCUGAAGAAAAUGAAACAGUCGACCAAGGGGCAGGAAAAGGCCCCGAGUGCAACAGAGAAAAGAGAGACAAUUGAUCCUGUUCCUGGCGACUCUGAUGAACACUCUCAACAUGGCUAAUACAGAGACACAGACUCAUUGGGUUUAGUGGGAAAAACCCCAUGGAUUAACUUUGUAGAAUUUGAGGAGGACUUUCCUGAGGUAUCUCUUCAUGUACAAUAAUUUGGUCCAGGAUGGAAAUGGACUGCUAAGAAUGAAGAGACUGGGGAAAGAUUUCAUAUUGGGAAUGGUAUCAUUCACCUGCAGAUAGAGCAAUGGAAAGAUUAUCUCAACUAAUUAGCUCUAGGAAAAAGAUGUAUUUCUUGCAUAGUUUUAGGUAUUGUAGCUUUGAUAGCCACCCUUUCUGCUACAACUGUCAGUAGUGUUUCUCUAGCACAAAGUGUAGCUAAUGUUCAUGUCCUGGAACAUGAUGCAGAAUAUUUACAUGGGCUUGCACAGAAUGUAACCAAGGCUUUGCAUAUACAGCAAAAUAUUAAUACAAGGGUUUUUUAUGCUUUAUAACAAAUAUCUAAAGAUGUAUUGUUACUCACUAAUCAAGUAGAAAUUUUAGCUAUUAAGGGUAAAUUACGGUGUGACUAUCAUUAUUCAGCUUUUUGUCUUCUUGUUAAAGUCAACACGUCUGAUGCAUUUGAAAAAAUUAGAAAUGAUCUACAAGGUCUUUGGCUAAAAGGCAAUAUCUCUGAAAACAUCCAACAAUUGAACCGUAUUAUUGAAGAAAUGGAUAGUUCCUUAGCUGAAGAUCUUUAUCCUGAACAUAUUGCUGAUUCUAUAUACAAUUGGAUUAAAUCAGGCCAAAGUUGGCUGUCUCCUUUAGCUCAAAUGAGUAUAACCAUAUUGACUUUCAUACUGUUUGUAGUUAUCUUACUGGUCCUUCUUCCUUGCCUAUUCCGGCUCCUUGUGUCCAGCGUGAGCAGGAUUGGACAAGUUCUGACCCAACACUGAGUACUGUUGCAAAACAAAAAGGGGGAAUUGUAGUCGAGGCAUUGCCGUAAAGGCAGAACCAUAAGGGUUAAGCCUCCUCUUCUCUCUGUUUGGGCUGCAUAGUCAGGGUCGUGGGUUGAACUGUGUAUGACCUGCCCAGCUAUGUGCUCAAGGUUGGAGUAGCAUCAGAGGGAGUACUGAUAAGGUUUGUGAGAAAGAAACUGUAAGGUUGGAGUAGCCAGCAGAGGACUGAUAAGAGUUGUGAGAAAUUGUGAGAGUCUGUGGGAAAGUUGCUUCUCUGUCUUUGUUUGGAAUCCUCUCGGUUCUUCCCUGUGCCUGGCAGGUAACGUCAUGAAUUCCUAUGAAUCUGCCCAAUUAUUGGUUCCUGCUGUUGCUGGGUGGCAACAUCAUAUCUUCCUGUGUGUCUUAACCUAUAUAUUUCUUUGUUUGAACUCAAUAAAGGGUCGUUAUGCUUUUUCA